rnacentral:lncRNA from 1 species
UGAAAAGAACUUUUAGUUUCAGGGGUACAUGAGCAGGUUGGCUCUAUAGGGAGGAGACUGUCAUUCACCAGCAAACCCCUGCCCCCUCACUUUUUCUUUUUUGUAAUUGGAAGUUCAGGUUGAACUGCUCUGUAGUUAUUCACCCACUUCUGCUGGUCAAAGGCCCAUGAGGAUUUAAAUGACUAAAUAGGCCAUAAAAUGCCAACCUUUUAGACGUCUAAAAAGUGUCUGCUGGAUCAAACAGUCAUCACGAACCACCCUUAGAUUCCUCUGCCACUCACUCUGCUCCCUGUGUCUGGGACACCCUGAGUCCACAGUGACUCUUUGCCAAAGUAUAAAGAAACCACCAUGUACCUUUUCAAAAAUGUCCACUUGUCCUUAAAGUCAUGAAUAAAGGAAGAGAUGGCUUCCAGAUAUGCAACUGGACUUCUGACAGCCAUCAUCCUCUAAAAUUUCCCUGUGUUUUGACUGAAGUUAUCCACCCACUUCUGCUGGUUCCUGGCUCACAUAAACAUUGAGCAAGUAACUUUCCAUUAGACCCAGAGGAUAGACUAGGAUAGAGUUCCGAGUGUCUGAAAAUUCCUGGUCCCCAACAAAACUGUGUUCUGCUCAAUAAUUUAUUUCGUAAGAAGUUAUAAUAAGUCUAGUCAUUAAAUCAAAAGAGAAAAACCUUAAUGAAGUAUAAUAUUGCUUGGUACUUGUUUUUGUCAGUUCCAUUUCUUCAUUAACUUUUUGAUUGGGAAAAUAAAGAUAAUUACACAAAUCUAUUCUCAAAUUUAGCCAUGGAUGAUUUGAUUUCUCUUUCUGUCUCUUCUGUGCCUGUGCAUACACACACACACACACACACACACACACACUCAGAGAACAGAGUUGUCUCUUUCUCUCUCUAUAUAUAUACAGAGCAUAUAUAUGUGUGUGUAUAUAUAUGUAUAUGUAUGUGUAUAUAUAUGUAUAUAUAUAUAUAGAGAGAGAGAGAGAAAGAUAGAGAGAAAGAUGCUCCUCAACUUAUGAUGUGUUAUGUUCUGAUAAACCCAUGGUAAGCUGAAAAUAUUCCAAGUCAAAAAUGCAUUGAAUGCACCUAACCUUUCAAAAACCAUAGCUUAGCCUAGUCCACUAUAAAUGUGCUUAGACACUUAACAUGUAAAUGUGGAAUACUUACAUCAGUUUACAGUUGGAGAAAAUCAUCUAUCACAAAGUCUAUUUCAUCAUAAAGUAUUGAAUAUUUCAUGUAGUUUAUUGAAUUCUGUACUGAACAUGAAAAACAGAAUGGUUGUAUGGCUACUUGAAGUACAGGUUCUACUGAAUGUGUUUCACUUUCACACCAUUGUAAAGUUGAAACCAUCAUAAGUUAGGGACCAUUUGUGUAUAUACCUAUAUGAGAUAUAUGUUAGUAAGAUAUAUAUGUAAACAACAUAUAUGUAAAUGAGAUAUAUAAAAACAUAUAAAUAACACAUAGAUCUCCUUGUUGAAUCCUACUGUGUACAAGACAUAAUUUUUUAUGCUGGGAUUCAGCAGUGAAGAAAAGGGAGGAAAGCUCUUGGCUUCACAGAGCUCACACUCUGGUGAGGGAGAAAACAAAUAUACAGAAUAUAAGAAGGUGAGGGCUGGGCAUAGA